rnacentral:rRNA from 1 species
UACAGAGGGGGCAAGCGUUAUUCGGAAUUAUUGGGCGUAAAGGGCGCGUAGGCGGCUUUGCAAGUGGCGGGUGAAAUCCCUCGGCUUAACCGAGGAACUGCCUGUCAAACUGCAUGGCUUGAGACCGGGAGAGGUGAGUGGAAUUCCCAGUGUAGCGGUGAAAUGCGUAGAUAUUGGGAGGAACACCAGUGGCGAAGGCGGCUCACUGGCCCGAUACUGACGCUGAGGCACGAAAGCGUGGGGAGCAAACAGG